CCUACGGGUGGCAGCAGUGAGGAAUAUUGGUCAAUGGGCGCAAGCCUGAACCAGCCAAGUCGCGUGAGGGAUGACGGUCCUAUGGAUUGUAAACCUCUUUUGUCGGGGAGCAAGGCCCGCCACGUGUGGCGGGAAGGAGAGUACCCGAAGAAAAAGCAUCGGCUAACUCCGUGCCAGCAGCCGCGGUAAUACGUAGGAGGCAAGCGUUAUCCGGAAUGACUGGGCGUAAAGGGUGCGUAGGUGGUUUGACAAGUUGGUAGCGUAACUCCGGAGCUCAACUUCGGAACUACUACCAAAACUGUUGGACUCGAGUGCAGGAGGGGCAACUGGAAUUUCUAGUGUAGCGGUGGAAUGCGUAGAUAUUAGGAAGAACACCGGUGGCGAAGGCGAGUUGCUGGACUGUAACUGACACUGAGGCACGAAAGCGUGGGGAGCAAACAGGAUUAGAUACCCCAGUAGUC
rnacentral:rRNA from 1 species